GUUUAAAGACGCUUGAAUAUCACUUUAUCUUUACCUUAGUCUUAAAAAUGGAGAAUAACGUUGACUUCAGUGCAAUUCUUCGAAAUAGGUACAGCGAUGUGAAUUUAUGUAGUACAAUACUUAUCAUAUUCGGUACAGUUAUUGGUUUAUUUGGAAAUUGUAUAAUAAUCGUGUUUUACUUCUUCCGAAUAAAGGAAAGAGGCGAACGCUAUUUUAUUCCAUUGUUGGCUAGUGUGGAUUUUGUAGCUUGUUUUACAAGUUCAGCGUUUUAUAUAAUGGACAAUACAUAUUUUUUUGAUUAUCCAAGUGAUAUUAUUUGUCGAAUACUAACAUUCUCACAAACAUUUGUUCCAGGAAUUUCAGCUCACAUUCUGGUAAUUAUAUGCGUUCAACGAUAUCUUCUAGUCUGCAAACCUUUUGUGCCAAAGAUGACAUUGUUUUAUUUGUCUCUCUGUUUGCCUUACUUUAUUCGGCACCAUUGUUAGGCAUUUCAGGAUUAAAUAUGAAUGUUAUAAAGUUUUCCGCAGUGGAAACAUCAGCAAAAAUUACCGCCUACUUCGGUUUUCUUGCAUAUUCCGGUCUUGAAGAGAAUACAAAUAUCUUUCAGUGUUAAAAAGUGCAACAAUGGCCCUGUGACAUCUGGGGAAUCGAAUAUAUCUAAAGCAAUAAAUGUAACAAACCUUACGUCCACGAAAGAAUCGAUUUCCAAUUCGAUGAAGUCAUGCACAACAGAAUCAAACACAGAAUCGAAUAUACAUGCGACGCAAGCAAGGAAUGAAAAGGACAUUGGUGAAUCAUCCUGUCUAAUCGACGAAAUUGAUAUUCAAGAACCUGAAGGAUGCAUUACAGCUUCUUAUUCAAAAACAAAUAAUAAUUCUCCUUUGCAGCUUGAGCAUAAUUUGAAAAACAAAAACGAGCGAAAAGAUAUAGCCGAACCAGCUCAAUCUUCAGAGAAAUCUUUACAAAGCAAAUCGAAUGAAGGAGAAUCAAAGAAGCGUUACAAUACAGACUCUUGUACUGUUAAACGAGAUUCAGUUAAAAGAAGAAUUAAUAUGAUGUUUUUCGUUAUAAUCAUUGCUUAUAUCUUUGCCUAUAUUCCGUCAAUCAUCAUGCUAAUUUUAUCAUAUGCUAUUGCAGAUUUUAAUUUUGUGACUUUAUCUAAGAGUGAAACGUGUGCUUUCUUUUUUAUCGCGCGCUUCGUGCUGAUUAAUCAUAUUGUUAAUCCCUUUAUUUACGGGUACUUUGAUUUGAAAUUCAAAGAAGAGUUGAAAAAGUGUUUUAAAUGCAAAUAAGAUGAUAAAAAUGCUGAUUAUUCCAUUGCAAAAAAUACGAGAGGAGAUUCAGGGGGUAAUUGGAAAUCAAAUGGUAAGGACAUCACCGUUUCCAAAAAGGAAAACAGUUAAAAGAUACAAACAGCCCGAACAAUAAAUUACAUUGAAUACUGACCUCCACUUACCUCACCAUAAAUUCAGUUGUACCUGAAGGGUACACAGUUUAACAAAUAGUAUAGAAGAAAGAAAUACAUUACCAACAUAUUUUAUCUUGAACCUCUAGAUAACUUAUCUAUUGUCAAUCACUAAGUGAACAUACGAAGUCAAAUUUUCAAAAAAUAGUUAUCCAUUAUACAUUUAAGUAGUAUUUUAAAUAUCUGGAAUGUAUUGCCAACCGUCAUUUAUAAUUUGAUGUUUUAAAGCGACUAAUUUUCCAUUGUUUGUUUUAAAAAAAAAUGAACCGUUAUUAUUAUAAGUUUGUAAAUCUGUGGAUUCAUUAUGAUUCGUUGGAUUUUCUUGGAAUUCGUAGUUAAUACAAAGGAAAUCACGAGUUUAUAUGUUCAACGUAGACCAACUUUAUAUUUGGUCACAAGUAUGUAUAUGUUUCUGAUUCAACAAUCCUUUGUACAUACAAAAAUAAAUGAACCAUUAGAAUUAGCAGACAAGCAUUCGGAAAUAUUUAAAAGGCGAUAAUGGUUUGCCAGAUUUUUAAUCAUUUGAUUUUUCAAUAUGUCUUUUGAUCUUUGCAUAUCUACUCAUGCACUUCCGUUGUUCACGAAACCCAUGAAAAUUUAGUUGAAAGUCCAAGUUACGUAUAAUUUCGAGACACAAUUCCCCUGUUAAUAUUAGUAAUUCAGAUUUAAACAUAA
rnacentral:lncRNA from 1 species